rnacentral:rRNA from 1 species
GACGAACGCUGGCGGCGUGCUUAACACAUGCAAGUCGAACGGAAAGGCCCUGCUUUUGUGGGGUGCUCGAGUGGCGAACGGGUGAGUAACACGUGAGUAACCUGCCCUUGACUUUGGGAUAACUUCAGGAAACUGGGGCUAAUACCGGAUAGGAGCUCCUGCUGCAUGGUGGGGGUUGGAAAGUUUCGGCGGUUGGGGAUGGACUCGCGGCUUAUCAGCUUGUUGGUGGGGUAGUGGCUUACCAAGGCUUUGACGGGUAGCCGGCCUGAGAGGGUGACCGGCAAAAUUGGGACUGAGAUGCGGCCCAGACUCCUACGGGAGGCAGAAGUGGGGAAUAUUGCACAAUGGGCGGAGGCCUGAUGCAGCAACGCCGCGUGGGGGAGGACGGCCUUCGGGUUGUAAACCGCUUUCGCCUGUGACGAAGCGUGAGUGACGGUAAUGGGUAAAGAAGCACCGGCUAACUACGU